rnacentral:rRNA from 1 species
UGGAGGGCAAGUCUGGUGCCAGCAGCCGCGGUAAUUCCAGCUCCAAUAGCGUAUAUUAAAGUUGUUGCAGUUAAAAAGCUCGUAGUUGAAUUUCGGGAUUUGUCAGUUGGUCGGGCUUAACUGUCCGUAUUGACUCGAUGGAUUCUUACCUUCUGAAUAACCAGCAUGCUAUUAAUUUAGUGCGUUGGGGAAGCAGAUCUAUUACCUUGAAAAAAUUAGAGUGCUUAAAGCGAGCUAGUGCUUGAAUAGAUUAGCAUGGAAUAAUAAAAUAGGACGGCAUGGUUCUAUUUUGUUGGUUUCUAGGAUCACCGUAAUGAUUAAUAGGGAUAGUUGGGGGCAUUAGUAUUCAAUUGUCAGAGGUGAAAUUCUUGGAUUUAUUGAAGACUAACUUCUGCGAAAGCAUUUGCCAAGGAUGUUUUCAUUAAUCAAGAACGAAAGUUAGGGGAUCGAAGACGAUCAGAUACCGUCGUAGUCUUAACCAUAAACUAUGCCGACUAGGAAUCGGACGAUGUUAAUUUUAUAAUGACUCGUUCGGCACCUUACGGGAAAC